rnacentral:rRNA from 1 species
AUUGAACGCUGGCGGCAUGCCUUACACAUGCAAGUCGAACGGCAGCAUAGGAGCUUGCUCCUGAUGGCGAGUGGCGAACGGGUGAGUAAUAUAUCGGAACGUGCCCUAGAGUGGGGGAUAACUAGCCGAAAGACUAGCUAAUAGCGCAUACGAUCUACGGAUGAAAGUGGGGGAUCGCAAGACCUCAUGCUCCUGGAACGGCCGAUAUCUGAUUAGCUAGUUGGUGGGGUAAAAGCCUACCAAGGCGACGAUCAGUAGCUGGUCUGAGAGGACGACCAGCCACACUGGGACUGAGACACGGCCCAGACUCCUACGGGAGGCAGCAGUGGGGAAUUUUGGACAAUGGGGGCAACCCUGAUCCAGCAAUGCCGCGUGAGUGAAGAAGGCCUUCGGGUUGUAAAGCUCUUUUGUCAGGGAAGAAACGGUAGUAGCUAAUAUCUACUACUAAUGACGGUACCUGAAGAAUAAGCACCGGCUAACUACGUGCCAGCCGCCGCCGUAAAAC